rnacentral:rRNA from 1 species
AUUGAACGCUGGCGGCAUGCCUAACACAUGCAAGUCGAACGAGUGGCGGACGGGUGAGUAAUAUCUGGGAAAGUGCCUGAUGAAGGGGGAUAACUACUGGAAACGUUGGCUAAUACCGCAUACCAUCAGAGCGGCCCAGAUGGGAUUAGCUAGUUGGUGGGGUAACGGCUCACCAAGGCGACGAUCCCUAGCGGGUCUGAGAGGAUGACCAGCCACACUGGAACUGAGACACGGUCCAGACUCCUACGGGAGGCAGCAGUGGGGAAUAUUGCACAAUGGGCGCAAGCCUGAUGCAGCCAUGCCGCGUGUAUGAAGAAGGCCUUCGGGUUGUAAAGUACUUUCGGCGGGGAGGCGUUACCCGCAGAAGAAGCACCGGCUAACUCCGUGCCAGCAGCCGCGGUAAUUC